AUGGGUUGAUUGAAAAAAUGAAAAGAGAAAAGGUUGAUAAAUUGUUUGCAUAGAGGAAAAUGAAGAAAGAGAAAAAAAAAUUUUUGAUUUUCCUAAAUUUGUUUGUUUGGAAUCAAAUAGAUUUUCCUAAAAAUCUAUGUUCUCUUUCAUUUCCCCUUCACAGUUAAGCAUCCUGUGACGGUGUGCAGUGCGAAGGAGAGGAGGAGAAUGAACCCAGAGACGAAGUUGAAUGCGAUAAGAUCAGGGAUCGUGGUGAUCGGCGCCUUAGCUUUCGGCCAUCUGACUCUAGAAAAGUUGCCCGUACAGAGUCAUAAAAUACUCUUAACUCAUGGCUCCCAGUAAAUCUCAGAUUGAUAAUCAUGAACAUAGACGAGAUGAUGAUGAAGAAAAUUGGUGGGAACUUAGAGAUCGAAGAGAGGGAAAUGCUAUAAUUGAGAGAACUUGACAACAUGUGUACUCUGAGAGAAGUUUAUGCACAACUUGGAAAGAUAGGAGUUGAGCUUCACUUAGUUACACGGCCUACACUUUCCCUACUCAAGAUCCAGCAAGGGUAGACCCUUUUUCGGUUUUCCGGUUAAUGAGCGCAAGGAUUUUUUUGCUACAGAUGAUUUAUGGUCCUGAGGACCCGUAAUUAACUAAUGAGUUAGUUUAUGUGGCUUGAUAGAGGUGCUUUUAGAUGUUUUUUAGUGCUUUUACUUUGUUGGUUCUUUAUUUUUGUUAUUUGACUGGCAAUGGAACUUACAGUUUGCCAUAGAACAACUUAACUGGUUAUGAUUUUUUAUGGAAUUUGAAGCUAUCUUUAAGAUCA